CACGUAGGGCGCAAGCGUUGUCCGGAAUUAUUGGGCGUAAAGAGCUCGUAGGCGGUGUGUCACGUCGGCCGUGAAAACCUGCAGCUUAACUGUGGGCGUGCGGUCGAUACGGGCAUCACUGGAGUUCGGCAGGGGAGACUGGAAUUCCUGGUGUAGCGGUGAAAUGCGCAGAUAUCGGGAGGAACACCGGUGGCGAAGGCGGUUCUCUGGGCCUGUGCUGACGCUGAGGAGCGAAAGCGUGGGGAGCGAACAGG
rnacentral:rRNA from 1 species